rnacentral:rRNA from 1 species
AAUUUUGCAAUACACGAAAGUGUGACAGAGCUAUCCCGAGUGCCAUCCGCUGAGGAAGGCUCUUACCCAGUAUAAAUAGCUGGGAGAAUAAGGAGAGGGCAAGACUGGUGUCAGCCGCCGCGGUAAUACCAGCUCUCCGAGUAGUGUGGACGUUUAUUGGGCCUAAAGCAUCCGUAGCUUGCUAGAUAAGUCCUCUGUUAAAUCCACCGAUUCAAUCGUUGGUUUGCGGGGGAUACUGUUUGGCUAGGGGACGGGAGAGGUCGACGGUAUUUCCGGGGUAGGGGUGAAAUCCUAUAAUCCCGGGAGGACCACCAGUGGCGAAGGCUGUCGACUAGAACGCGCCCGACGGUGAGGGAUGAAAGCUGGGGGAGCGAACCGGAUUAGAUACCCGGGUAGUCCCAGCUGUAAACGAUGCAGGCUAGGUGUUUGGGCGGCCACGAGCCGCCCUAGUGCCGCAGGGAAGCUGUUAAGCCUGCCGCCUGGGGAGUACGGCCGCAAGGCUGAAACUUAAAGGAAUUGGCGGGGGAGCACCACAAGGGGUGAAGCUUGCGGUUU